rnacentral:tRNA from 1 species
GGCCCCAUAGUUAAAUGGAUAUAACAGAUGCCUUCUAAGCAUCUAUUAGAGGUUCGAUUCCUCUUGGGGCUACUA